rnacentral:rRNA from 1 species
GAUGAACGCUGGCGGCGUGCCUAAUACAUGCAAGUCGAGCGAACAGACGCGGAGCUUGCUCCUCUGACGUUAGCGGCGGACGGGUGAGUAACACGUGGAUAACCUACUUAUAAGACUGGGAUAACUUCGGGAAACCGGAGCUAAUACCGGAUAAUAUAUUGAACCGCAUGGUUCAAUAGUGAAAGACGGCUUUGCUGUCACUUAUAGAUGGAUCCGCGCCGCAUUAGCUAGUUGGUACGGUAACGGCUUACCAAGGCAACGAUGCGUAGCCGACCUGAGAGGGUGAUAGGCCACACUGGAACUGAGACACGGUCCAGACUCCUACGGGAGGCAGCAGUAGGGAAUCUUCCGCAAUGGGCGAAAGCUUGACGGAGCAACGCCGCGUGAGUGAUGAAGGUCUUCGGAUCGUAAAACUCUGUUAUUAGGGAAGAACAAAUGUGUAAGUAACUAUGCACGUCUUGACGGUACCUAAUCAGAAAGCCACGGCUAACUACGUG